rnacentral:siRNA from 1 species
UUGUUAAAGAAGAUGGAACAA